AACGCAUAUUGCGGUCGAGGCUUCGGCUAAGACCAUGUCUGCCUCAGCGUCGGUGUGAACCCUCAUCCAAACUCAAAAGGUUGGAUGGAACUGGUCUCCCCAUUGCUCGCUCAAUGGGUUGGCUGAAAUAUGGAGGCUCAAGCUCGGACCUGUAUGGCAACAGCAAGGUAGGUAGUCUAACUACUCCAGCUGAUGCUUUGGGUACUUGCAUGACUGCCCGCAGGCAACAAUCACCCUUUUCGACCUGAGAUCAGGCAAGGCUACCCGCUGAACUUAA
rnacentral:misc_RNA from 1 species